rnacentral:rRNA from 1 species
UACGUAGGGCGCAAGCGUUGUCCGGAAUUAUUGGGCGUAAAGAGCUCGUAGGCGGCUUGUCACGUCGGGUGUGAAAGCCCGGGGCUUAACCCCGGGUCUGCAUUCGAUACGGGCUAGCUAGAGUGUGGUAGGGGAGAUCGGAAUUCCUGGUGUAGCGGUGAAAUGCGCAGAUAUCAGGAGGAACACCGGUGGCGAAGGCGGGUCUCUGGGACGGUACUGACGCUGAGACGCGAAAGCGUGGGGAGCGAACAGG